AGCGAACGCUGGCGGCAGGCCUAACACAUGCAAGUCGAACGAACCUUUCGGGGGUAGUGGCGGACGGGUGAGUAACACGUGGGAACGUGCCUUUAGGUUCGGAAUAACUCAGGGAAACUUGUGCUAAUACCGAAUGUGCCCUUCGGGGGAAAGAUUUAUCGCCUUUAGAGCGGCCCGCGUCUGAUUAGCUAGUUGGUUGAGGUAAUGGCUCACCAAGGCGACGAUCAGUAGCUGGUCUGUGAGGAUGAUCAGCCACAUUGGGACUGAGACACGGCCCAAACUCCUACGGGAGGCAGCAGUGGGGAAUCUUGCGCAAUGGGCGAAAGCCUGACGCAGCCAUGCCGCGUGAAUGAUGAAGGUCUUAGGAUUGUAAAAUUCUUUCACCGGGGACGAUAAUGACGGUACCCGGAGAAGAAGCCCCGGCUAACUUCGUG
rnacentral:rRNA from 1 species